UACGGAGGGUGCAAGCGUUAUCCGGAUUCACUGGGUUUAAAGGGUGCGUAGGUGGGCAGGUAAGUCAGUGGUGAAAUCUCCGGGCUUAACUCGGAAACUGCCAUUGAUACUAUCUUUCUUGAAUACCGUGGAGGUCAGCGGAAUAUGUCAUGUAGCGGUGAAAUGCUUAGAUAUGACAUAGAACACCAAUUGCGAAGGCAGCUGGCUACACGAAUAUUGACACUGAUGCACGAAAGCGUGGGGAUCAAGCAGG
rnacentral:rRNA from 1 species